CGAACGGUAACAGGAAGCAGCUUGCUGCUUCGCUGACGAGUGGCGGACGGGUGAGUAAUGUCUGGGAAACUGCCUGAUGGAGGGGGAUAACUACUGGAAACGGUAGCUAAUACCGCAUAACGUCGCAAGACCAAAGAGGGGGACCUUCGGGCCUCUUGCCAUCGGAUGUGCCCAGAUGGGAUUAGCUAGUAGGUGGGGUAACGGCUCACCUAGGCGACGAUCCCUAGCUGGUCUGAGAGGAUGACCAGCCACACUGGAACUGAGACACGGUCCAGACUCCUACGGGAGGCAGCAGUGGGGAAUAUUGCACAAUGGGCGCAAGCCUGAUGCAGCCAUGCCGCGUGUAUGAAGAAGGCCUUCGGGUUGUAAAGUACUUUCAGCGGGGAGGAAGGCGACAGGGUUAAUAACCCUGUCGAUUGACGUUACCCGCAGAAGAAGCACCGGCUAACUCCGUGCCAGCAGCCGCGGUAAUACGGAGGGUGCAAGCGUUAAUCGGAAUUACUGGGCGUAAAGCGCACGCAGGCGGUCUGUCAAGUCGGAUGUGAAAUCCCCGGGCUCAACCUGGGAACUGCAUUCGAAACUGGCAGGCUAGAGUCUUGUAGAGGGGGGUAGAAUUCCAGGUGUAGCGGUGAAAUGCGUAGAGAUCUGGAGGAAUACCGGUGGCGAAGGCGGCCCCCUGGACAAAGACUGACGCUCAGGUGCGA
rnacentral:rRNA from 1 species